UGCUGAGGGGUCGCCCAUCUGACUACGGAUCAGAAGGUUGGGGGUUCGAAUCCCCCGCUGGCAG
rnacentral:tRNA from 1 species